rnacentral:rRNA from 1 species
UACGUAGGUGACCAGCGUUGUCCGGAUUACUGGGCGUAAAGAGCGCGCAGGCGGUCGUUCAAGUCGAGUGUGAAAGCCCCCGGCUCAACUGGGGAGGGUCAUUCGAUACUGAUCGACUUGAAGGCAGGAGAGGGAAGCGGAAUUCCCGGUGUAGUGGUGAAAUGCGUAGAUAUCGGGGAGGAACAUCAGUGGCGAAGGCGACUGCCUGGCCCAACACUGACGCUGAGGUGCGAAAGCGUGGGUAGCAAACAGG